CCCGGGCCUUGUACACACCACCCGUCACACCACGAAAGUUGGUAACGCCCGAAGCCAGUGGCCCAACCCUCGGGAGGGAGCUGUCGAAGGUGGGAUCAGCGAUUGGGGUG
rnacentral:rRNA from 1 species